rnacentral:rRNA from 1 species
CCGGUUGAUCCUGCCGGACCUGACUGCUAUCGGAUUGAUACUAAGCCAUGCGAGUCAUUGUAGCAAUACAAGGCAGACGGCUCAGUAACGCGUAGUCAACCUAACCUAUGGACGGGAAUAACCUCAGGAAACUGAGAAUAAUGCCCGAUAGAACACUAUAUCUGGAAUGGUUUGUGUUCCAAAUGAUUUAUCGCCGUAGGAUGGGACUGCGGCCUAUCAGUUUGUUGGUGAGGUAAUGGCCCACCAAGACUAUUACAGGUACGGGCUCUGAGAGGAGUAGCCCGGAGAUGGGUACUGAGACACGGACCCAGGCCCUAUGGGGCGCAGCAGGCGAGAAAACUUUGCAAUGUGCGAAAGCACGACAAGGUUAAUCCGAGUGGUUUGUGCUAAACGAACCUUUUGUCGGUCCUAGAAACACCGAUGAAUAAGGGGUGGGCAAGUUCUGGUGUCAGCCGCCGCGGUAAAACCAGCACCUCAAGUGGUCAGGAUGAUUAUUGGGCCUAAAGCAUCCGUAGCCGGCGCUGUAAGUUUUCGGUUAAAUCUGUACGCUCAACGUACAGGCUGCCGGGAAUACUGCAGCGCUAGGGAGUGGGAGAGGUAGACGGUACUCGGUAGGAAGGGGUAAAAUCCUUUGAUCUAUUGAUGACCACCUGUGGCGAAGGCGGUCUACCAGAACACGUCCGACGGUGAGGGAUGAAAGCUGGGGGAGCAAACCGGAUUAGAUACCCGGGUAGUCCCAGCUGUAAACUAUGCAAACUCAGUGAUGCAUUGGCUUGUGGCCAAUGCAGUGCUGCAGGGAAGCCGUUAAGUUUGCCGCCUGGGAAGUACGUACGCAAGUAUGAAACUUAAAGGAAUUGGCGGGGGAGCACCACAAGGGGUGAAGCCUGCGGUUCAAUUGGAUUCAACGCCGGAAAUC